rnacentral:rRNA from 1 species
GCAGAAGAAGCGCCGGCUAACUNCGUGCCAGCAGCCGCGGUAAUACGUAGGGUGCAAGCGUUGUUNGGAAUUAUUGGGCGUAAAGAGCUCG